rnacentral:rRNA from 1 species
GACGAACGCUGGCGGCGUGCUUAACACAUGCCAGUCGAACGGAAAGGCCCUGCUUUUGUGGGGUGCUCGAGUGGCGAACGGGUGAGUAACACGUGAGUAACCUGCCCUUGACUUUGGGAUAACUUCAGGAAACUGGGGCUAAUACCGGAUAGGAGCUCCUGCUGCAUGGGGGGGGUUGGAGAGUUGCGGCGGUUGGGGAUGGACUCGCGGCUUAUCAGCUUGUUGGUGGGGUAGUGGCUUACCAAGGCUUUGACGGGUAGCCGGCCUGGGAGGGUGACCGGCCACAUUGGGACUGAGGUACGGCCCAGACUCCUACGGGAGGCAGCAGUGGGGAAUAUUGCACAAUGGGCGGAAGCCUGAUGCAGCGACGCCGCGUGCGGGAUGCCGGCCUUCGGGUUGUAAACCGCUUUCGCCUGUGACGAAGCGUGAGUGACGGUAAUGGGUAAAGAAGCACCGGCUAACUACGUG